GGGCUGAGCAGAUCAGUUGCUGGCUGGGACCAGAAGGGUGAGGAAAGACUGGAAGACUCUGAAACUCUCCAGCCCUAUUUGUCUUCUAGACUUCAUUGGCAAGAUUCUGCUCACAGGUACACCAGUGUAACACAGGUGGUCUGCCCUCUACUAGAGCAAGAACAGAAUAUAAGAGGAAUAUCUGGCACCUAGAAAGCUGACAAUCAGAGAUAAGGUACUUAGAAGAACGCACAUUCAAUCAAGGUCAAGAAUGAAGAAUACAUCAAUCGCUUAUUUGUACUCCUAUAGGUGAGGUUACACCAGCAUUUGCAGUUGCAGACUUUACUGGGAGUUAGGCUCAACAUCCCUGAAAAUCAGACCACUUUUAAUUAGGUACCUAAAUAUGGAGUUAGAUGCCUAACUAUAGACGCUUCGAUUUGAAAAUGUUGGUCACAAUUGUCUCUGUUUAUCUCCUUCUGGCUCAGGAACAGAUUGACAUAUAUUAUUCCUGUG